rnacentral:lncRNA from 1 species
CUCGAUCCAGCUCCAACCGGCAUCCUUCUUCACCCCAAUUUCAUCCAUCCUCCGACGCACCCUCUCCACAUCCUGCCAUUCUUCAUGCAUCGCAUAGAGGUUUGACAUCAGCACGUAGCUCGCGGAGUCUCUUUCUGAAAGCUCCAUCAGCUUGUCUGCUGCGAGUUUUCCAAUGUCAAGAUUCUUGUGCUAUGAAAAUAUCUCCUAUAACUAAAAAAUAACAAAACUAAGACUAUUUCAUCGUGCGACUUUUUUUUUGUUCCGUCGGUCCGUCCGCGACGUGAGAUCCGCGCCUCUGCCCGCGACUCUCCCUAAAAAUGCCACAAUUUAUGGGUGGUCCCAGAUAAGUCUCCCUCAAAACACCACUUCUUGCGGACCCAUAUGAAGGAUUAUCGAUUUUAUACCACUUAACUAAUAAAGAAACUACGUGAUUAUAGGAAUCAUGUCCCGAUCGUGCGACCCUCCCCCGUCGAAGGCCUGAUGUCUCUGGAGUUCCUCACCGCGGGCUAAGGCAUCGAGCACGACCGGGCCAAUCAACCACGCGGCGAACACGCGGCCGUCUGCAGCCCCGAUCCGUCUCCGUGGCCUACACCCUGCCACCUUCGUCGAUGCCAGUUUGACGAAGCUUAUGACCUUCUUUAAUCUUGGACUCCAUCGUGACUGCGAGACCGGCGGCCGACCAUGUGGCCGUCCACAGCCCCGAUCCGUCUCUGUGGCCUGUGCCCUGCCACCUCCGCCGAUGCCAGUUUGCUCUGGGUUAUUGCUAGGGUAUCCUCAGACAACCUCUAUGUUUUUGGGAUUAAUAUCACUUUAAUAUCGAUAUUUAAUUUCACAGUAUUGUUAUUUUGUCAUGUGAUCAGUAUAUUUUUAGUACAAAGUUUAGCUGUUUUGUAGCAACGCACGGGCACGAACCUAUCUUACCAAAAUAGAGAAGAAGUAAUUGUACGCAAUACAAACAAAGGCAACCAAACCACCUAAUACUAGCUAAGUUUAGACAAUACAAGCAACCAAACAAUUAUAUAUUGGCUUGCUGAAAGCAGGUUUGGACUGUCAUGGCUUAGAUUCUAGCCAGACUAGAGAUAAGCCUGGGAACCAAAUAGACCCAACAUUGUUAUCUUAUCAUGCGAUAUAUGUAUUUUUUUUAUAAAAUAUUAGCUAUCCCGUAGCAACGCACGGGCACGCUACCUAGUACAUGUAAAGUCUGCAAGUGAUAUGUUCAUCUUUGGCAUCUAAAUCUGCAUAUGAACAUCUAACUCUGUAUCUUGCAUCACAACAACGAGCUCUGCAAGCAUCUGAUAGAUGGAUGCGGAGUCUGAAUGAGACGUGUCUCUUGCAACAAAGGUGCUGACCUCGUUCUUGACCUCGAUCCAGCUCCAACCGGCAUCCUUCUUCACCCCAAUUUCAUCCAUCCUCCGACGCACCCUCUCCGCAUCCUGCCAUUCUUCAUGCAUCGCAUAGAGGUUUGACAUCAGCACGUAGCUCGCGGAGUCUCUUUCUGAAAGCUCCAUCAGCUUGUCUGUUGCGAGUUUUCCAAUGUCAAGAUUCUUGUGCAGCUUGCAA